rnacentral:rRNA from 1 species
AUGCCACAUACGGAGUUAAGCUUGCCUGCCCCAGAGGAGCUGAUCCAGGUCCAGCCCAGUGAGAUCCACUUCCCCUUUCUGCCAAAUGUGAUGCUGUCAGCUUCGUCUUUAAUUAAGGUACUAAACAUCACGGAUAACUACGUCGUUUUGGUUUCAAGGACACCGGUUGCAAAUGUAGCAGAGUACGGAACCCGUCGGAAUGUAGGAACCCUACCACCAAGGUCCACACAGGAAUUUCUUGUCAGAAGGAUAGUGAAGAAGUCCGUUGUGCAGAGCAUCGAGUGCGACGACAAGUACCUUCUUUUCAGCACCACUGUGAGCAAGAGCUUCAUUAACUCGGAACAUUGCGUCGAUUUAAAUAAAUUCUUCGAUAAACAGAGUGGUCAAAUAUGGCAUAUCAGAGAGUUGGCCGUUGUUCUAGAACCAGCAUAUCGAGAAGGGUCCCCCGACGGUAUGCCACAUACUGAGGAGCUGAUCCAGGUCAUUCCCCAUGAGCUCCGCUUUCCGUUUGUUCCAGAUGAGAGUAUAUCAGUUACAUCUUUGAUUAAGGUAGUCAACAUGACAGAUGACUACAUCGCUUUCCAUCCAAGGUAUAAUGUGGCCAAUAUGGCAGAAUACACCAUGACACCUACGGGAGGAAUCCUGCGACCAUGGUCCACACAAGAUAUCAUGGUAACGAGGACAUCAAGGAAGGGGGUUCUACAGAGCAUUAAAUGCAACGACACGAAUUUUCUGUACAGCACCGUUGUGAGUGAGGAUUUCCAGAGCGACGAUCUUGGAAAAUUCUAUGAUACAGAAGCGGGCGUUAUAUGGCACAAGCUGGAGUUGGGUGUUCUUCUUGAAGAAGACACCCAGUUGCAGCCCUCAGAGUUUCUGACACAUAAUGAGACAGAAUCCACACUUGACCCUAUGUCGUUACAACAUCUGAAAGACAUCACAAACAACUUUUCCAAUGAGAGAAUACUUGGUAGAGGUGGUUUCGGUGUGGUAUAUAAGGGAGUGCUAGGAAAUGGAAAAAUGGUAGCUGUGAAGAAACUUGUGCAGUCAAUGCCAAGUUCACAACAGCAAUUUGAGAAUGAGGUUAAUCUUCUUAUGAAACUAAAGCACCCAAAUAUAGUGCGACUAGUAGGAUACUGCUAUGAAACACAGCAUUUACGUGGUCAUCAUGAAGGCAAAAUCGUUUUUGCUUGGAACACAUAA